rnacentral:rRNA from 1 species
UGGUGGAGUGAUCUGUCUGGUUAAUUCCGUUAACGAACGAGACCUCUACUUGCUAAAUAGUUUACGUUAGUCUUCGGGCUAUCGGCGAACUUCUUAGAGGGACUAUCGGUGUGUAGCCGGUGGAAGUUGGAGGCAAUAACA